rnacentral:rRNA from 1 species
CCCUUAGAUGUUCUGGGCUGCACGCGUGCUACAAUGGCGCUUGCAACAAGUCUUGCCAACCCGAUAGGGUGAGCGGAUCUUUGAAGAGGCGUCGUGAUCGGGACAGUUGAUUGCAAUUAUUCGACUCGAACGAGGAAUUCCUUGUAAUCGCGAUUCAUCAUAUCGCGCUGAAUACGUCCCUGCCCUUUGUACACACCGCCCGUCGCUCCUACCGAUUGAGCGAUCCGGUGAAUGUUUUGGGCUGGCGUCAGAAGCGGUUCGCUCCUGACACUACGAAAUUUUGUAAACCUUAUCGCUUAGAGGAAGGAAAAGUCGUAACA